GCUGAUGCCCGCCUCGCGGGCGA
rnacentral:sRNA from 1 species